UCCAGCUGAAGACCGGGAGACCGCCCUGCACCGGAGGGCCGUUGAUGGCCGAGGCCGUGAACGCCGCAGCCAGGCGGAAAUCCGACACCUGGAACAAAGGACAGGAACCCGCGGCAAAGGGCAGCGUGAGGGCUGACACGUCCCCAUCCCAGACAGCAGGAACAGCUCCCGGAGAUUGGAUAAUAAGGUACCAGCUACAGGUCAGCACUCAAGACAGGACAUGAAGUAGACAAGCUCCUAAUUCAAGACCAUACAGCUACUUCUGCAUUCCAGGGGCACCACUGCCAAUCUCUAACCACAAAUAUCUGCAAUUCCACCUGAUGAAAUUCCACAUGACUAAAGCUUGUAGAAACUUUGUCAGGAGAGAAAAGCAGAAGAGAAAGGGAAGUAGCAGGUUGGGGGCAGGGAGCGGGGAGAGAGAUGGGGAAAUACAGCAAUGACAGCCAUUGUUUUCCUGUUCUGGAAUAAAAUAACUGUAAAGGAGCAAAACCUUUGAACACCCACUGCAGUAGCUGCAAGCCGGAGGGGAAGGUGAUGAGCUCAGCCUCUAUGAGCAUGCUGCUACUCACAGCCCAGACAGGAAUGAUACCCCACCCUGGGAGAGGCCUCCCAAACCUCAAGUCCAGUAAUCAGCAAGCUCCCUAUAAUUGGGAAUAAAAAUAUAGCAUCUAAAGCUAUCAGUACUUUGAGAUGGGCUUAGACAGAAGUUAAUUAAACUGAGUUUAAUCCAGUUAAGGAGAGCCCUGUCAGGAAAAAACAACAGAGCAUUACCUACUGUCCUGGUUCAACCCCUGCUGGCAACUAAGUACCACAAAACUACUCAUCCACAUCCCUCCAAGCCCCACCCCUCAUGGGAUGGGGAGAAGAAUUGGAAAAAGGUAAAAACCGUGGGUUGAGAUAACAACAAUUUCAAUAACUGAAUUGUUAAUAACAAAAAUUAAAAAGGAAAGGGAGGGCAAGAGAAAAAAACCCUUAGUGAAACAAGUGACUCACAAUACAAUUGCUCACCACUUGCUCACCAAUGCAAUGCCCACCCCUGAGCAGGGAUCAGCACCUUCCAGCCAAUUCCCACAGUUUACACAAUAAGAAUGAGGUUCAAUAGUAUGGAAUAUCCCUUUGGCCACUUCAGUUCAGAUGUCCUGGCCAUGCUCUGACAGCUUCUUGUGCACCUGCUCGCUGGCAGAGCAUGGGAAACUGAAAAAGUCCUUGACUUAUCAACAACUAAAACAUCAGUUUAAAUAAUACUUGAACUAUCAACAUUAUUCUCAUACUACAUCCAAAACACAGUACUGUAUCAACCACUAAGAAAAUUAACUCUAUGCCACCUGCAAAAGACCAUUUGCCUGAACAUGGAAAAAGACCUUAAGUUUUACACUAAAUUCUCUGUUCUGAUCAUGUCUAACUGUUGCUUAGGUUUUAAGGCUUUCAAGAUUGACAGGCUUUAGAUGUAUUAGGUGGCAGCAGUCCAUGAGGUUUCUUGGAGUACUCUCUCUUGGAGUCAGAAGCUUUCUGGAAAAGUCAAAUAACAAGCCCAAGGGGUCUUGUUCUUGAAAGAGCAAUUUUAGCCCAGUUUCCUACCUCCAAAGUAAGCUUGUGUUACCUUUUUCCUUGGUGCGUAUUUUGCAUUUAGGACAAUAUAACUGAUCUGUAUGUGAGGCUGCAGCUUCCCACUACAAACCAAGAAAUAAAAGUAACACUGCUUAUUAGGAUCAGCUCCACAGCACACAAAUGUGUCUUACUGUUGUAUCUCAUGAUGUACUUCAUGCUUUCCAAGCUGGUCACCUUGCCCUGGUCUCGACGGAAGAUUUUGGCUCUUGGAGCAAGCUCAUAGGAGAAAUCCAUGCCGUACUUGACAACGUAUGAUGCAUACCCACUGAGAUUGUAAAUCUUUUCAUGGAAAGGGAUAUUGUAUGAAGGCCAGUAACCUGCCAGAGACAAACCCCAAUCUGUUAAUCACUUGGAAAAGCUGGAUGCUCUUGCUUGUAUCAGAAAAGAAAAUAAAUAAUUGUCCAUGUUGCAUUGCCUCAGCAGCAUGUCGAGGAACAACACAGAAAACUGGUUUGAACACAAUAAGGCAACAGUCACUGGCAUGACCAGGGCUGACUCCCAGCAUAACAUCACUGGAGACUGCAUACCCAGGCAACCCGCCCCCAGACUUCCAGCCUCAGGACUCAUCCUGCAAAACAGCUGAGAUCAGACUUGCAGGAGCCUGAACAUGCAGCAUAGCCACAGCCCUCUUGCAGAGGUUUCCCUGCUGAACCUUAAAGGACUGCAAAAUCAUUUAUCUCCACAGAACUUCACAGUGAGAGGCCUGAAGUCACUCUGGUUUUGCCUGCUUCCCAUCUCUCCAAAGCAGAACAACACACCAUGCGGCGAUGUCAGGGAGGGACUGACACACACAAACACACGGAGACCACAGGGCCACUCGGGCUGAACAGGAGGCAGGCCAGCACACACAUGCUUUGUGCAGUGGGGGUUGCACACAGCCAUAAAGAAGGAUGGGGGAUUGCUGCACAUUUGCCAGUAGCUGCCUUUGAAGGUUAAGAAGUGAUUGAUCAGCAAAGCAGAGCCUUUCUCCAACCUUUCCAAAAGCAAUUCUGCAUAAAACUGCUGAAAGAAGACCAUUGUGGGAAGUUCUUGUAAAGAACCAGGAGACCUUCCAGGGCAGAAUCUGGGUACAGGAAGUACUUUAAUAUAUAAGAAUAGAUAACCUUAACAUUUAAUUUUUUUUUAUUUUUAGGCAGCAAGUAUAUAACAUGAGCUAGGCCCAAGAGUAGCAUACUUUCAAGAUGUCGCCGAAGCACCAACAUCCCCUGUUGUUCAUUCUCAAAUCACACACAUCAGGAUUUGGCUUAGAGAUUUACUAUCUAGGCACUGAUAAAUGCAGGCCUCCAUUAAGAUCAGUCCAGCACAGUGUGAGGAGUCCAGUGUAAGAUGCUCAAGAAAAUCAACUGGAACUCACUGGGAGUAAUACACACAAAUACAAGCCAAGCUUCCUGAAAGAUAUGCAGACAGCAUAAGCAGUGGAGCACUGUCUGACUGGAGGCCUCACCAGCUUGAGUCCUGCCUAGGAUAGGGAAGACAGGGUAUUCCUGUCUGCUGGCAUUUGCUUACGUGACCCAGAGCCUACCUGAAGGAAACAGGCUGUGUACAGGCUGUGUUGUAAUACAGGCGUCCUCCAGAAAUGAGCAACUUGCCAGCCUCUAACGACGCAGGCCGGAGGACACGGAUACAUCAGCUUCCAAACCAGUAAGGUUUAGCUGUGAUUCAAAAAGGUGCUAUUGUCUCACAUGAACACAGUGCAUACAGGUGACCCCUUUCUCCCACCUGGAAAAACUUCUUGUUAAAAUUGCUAAAACAGAGGAAGCUAUUAAAGUUCUCCUCCAGCAAGAGCUCUUCUGUGUCUCAGAAUCUGCAAGACUGCAAAUCCCAUGGAAAGAGUGCAACAGUCAACCUAAGCCAGACUUUACCCAAAGGCUGCUAUAAGCCAGUGAAACCUGGCAGGGUGCACAGUGACAAAAAACAAGUCAAAAGAGACUGUGAAGUUGAAAGGAAGGGAUGACAUGAAGGCAGCAAAAAAUUCCUGAAUCAAAAUGUUUUCCUUCUCUGCACUUAGAGAGCAAAAGGUACCAGCAACAUGGAGAGUCAGGGCAGUAAGAAUAUUGCAUAUAUGGAAGACACUCAGACCCCAGGUUUUGCUCUGAUGUGUUGCUUUUGAUAGAGUACUCAUUCAUCAUCAUGAAACAUGAACUGCAGCCUAUUCCUGUGACCUAUUCCUUCACUUGAGACAAUGUUGCCCUCCCUCACCUCCUCCAAAGGAUUUCUGAGUUUUCUUUGUCAAUAUACAGAAAGCACCUGGACAUCUUUGCCUGGAAAGGGCAACAUAAGAGAUUCCUGUUAUUGAGAACUCAUCUGCACUGCCCUGCAGAAUGACAGGAGCCAUAAAGAAAAAAAAAAAUUAUUUUCAAACCUGUAUAAAGAAAUGCUUCAUUUUUCCUCAGUACAAGGUUUACUACGGCAAUACCUGCCUUUGUUCACCUGCCUUUGUUCACCUGAGAUUUCAAUUAUCUUUCUCUGUGAUUUCUAGGUAUAUGCUUCAAAGAGACUCAAAAAGCAAAUGCUGGUGGCAAACUCACUCUGACCAAACCAGCGUGCCCAAAAAGUGCAUUAUCUUGGGACACCUGCUACAUGGCAAUGAUGGAGCGUGCCAGGAUCAGCUACACUACAAAGAUUUUAAGCCAGCAUUGCUCUUGAGAAAGAUAAACUUCCCUCACCUGAGCUGCUCCAAGCACCUGGGAACAGGGCAGGGGCCUUGAAGGGACUUGUCUGGUGUCCUGCAUGGCAAGGAGGAGUUCAGAUCUGCUGCUUACAGCAGCUGAAGUCUCCAAAACUGCACUUUGGCAGGGCUUAGCUCAACCUGUGUGUUGAAAGCUGUCCUCCUAAUGUUUAAACUCCCAGAGACUGACUGCUCUGUUAUCCAAUAUGGACAAGGUACACUUAGAUAUCUGGGAAAAGACCUACUGCAGGUAUGAAGUGAUGUGUAACCUCUAAUACAUGCUGCCACCUUUGAGAACAGAGCAGCUACAACAUCUCAGAGGGAAGAAGUGGUCACGGUGUGGCCAAGCCCAGGAGUUGGGCUCAGUCCUACAGAGAAUGCCACACAGCUGCUCUAAAAUCAAAAGGAACUCAAGGUACCUGCCAAGCCUGGCCUCUCUGCACAGGUUCAGCACUGCCAUGAUGGGGCUGCAAUGUUUCCAGUGCCAGAGCUAGAGAGUCUCUAUCAGCUUCUUUGUCUGCACCCCAAACACAACACAGCAUUGAAAAGCCCAAGGCAAAAGAAGCCAAAAGAGACUGACAAUGUGGCAAUGCCUGGAAAAAGCCAGAACUUUUCAAGAAGCUAGGAAACAACAAAAAAUUUCAAAGAGAACCAACCCCAGCUGCUAACACAGACAAAUUUCCCAUCAUUUUGAUGAUGAGCAAUUCAUCAAUUUAUCCCCUCAGCAUGUGAUAUGGGGAAGGAGCACAAAGCUUUAGACACAGUUAAGGCUCAGGCUUUUUUGUUGAUGAUGUGUCUAGUAAACACUUGCAAAUUAAACCUGACAGUGAGUGUUCUGCUUGACCAAGAUUUUUGUUUGUUUUCCAUUGAGUUCUUGCUAGUCUUGCUAGGGAAUUAAAGAACCUUUUUAAAAGCAAAUAUUUAUCAGAAAACAGAGAUCCAGAAAAGUUCAGGAGAUGAAUUUAACAUAGAACUUCUUUGGUAUUCAAAAUUUUAUCUUCUUCUAGGGUGAUCCACUCAACAAUCAUUUUGAGUAGCCCACAGCAUCACCGUUAUUUAGUACUGUCCCAAACAGAUCUCACAUUUUCCCUCAUUGGUCCUACAACAGGGCAAAACAAUACCAGAAAAAAGGCAAGGAUGCAGAUAAGCAAAGAGACAAAGUCUAUUUUCCCCUCCUCUGCUUCUAGGAGACACAGAUGCUCACUGCAUUGCUGCCACAGCAUACCAGGUAAAUCAACAGAUUGCAAUUGACUCGGCUACAGAGGGAUGCCCAUGCAAAGCUGAGGGUUGCUCACACAAGGCUUCCUUACUUUAAACUCAGGACUAGUAUUCAACAAACCCUUCCCUGGUACAAAACACAAUUCUCAGUUGGCAUAAAGAGAUGGUUUUCCUAAGCCAGUAACUACUAUAGGAGCUAUUACCUUUCCGGAGAACAUUUGUUUGAUCAGAAUACUCCACAAGGGUUGGGAUCUGCUCAACAAUGUACAAUGCACCAUCAUCAAGGCUCCUCUGCAGCUUGACCUUCUUCAGGUCUAGAACCAUGUACUGAUUGUUGUAGGUUCCUGGAUGUGAGAACAGAGAGAGUUACAUGUCCUGCCAAGGUAAGGAAACAAGUGCAACAGGUAGAGGGAGCAUAUCUUUUUUCCUCAGAUGCAUAUGAAGGUGUACUUACCAGAGUUGCACUUUGAGAAGGUCUCUGCCCAAGUUUUGCCAUCAUUUGCCAUCAUGUUGGCAAUGCGGACCCUCUGCCAAGCUAACAGGGAUUCUGGCACCACUUGCUUAAUGAGGGUUUCAUUGUAAACACUGUUGGUAGUCUGCAACAUUACCAAUCCACUGCCCAGUAUGUAAAAGUCAUCCAGGGACACCAAAAAGCCUUAAAAAGCAAUAACACAACACUUGUUAUCUUUGUGAACCUUUGAUAUACUCAACAAAACAAGAGAUAAGUAAUGAGGAUAUGGAUGAGUCAAUGUGUGUGUGUGAACUCAAACUGUACAAAGGUUAAAGAUGAGGUAGUAACUUCUGCAAGGGCUUUGGGCCCACCUGUCAACACAGUUUGAAAUGAGUAACUGUCACACUUUCAAGACACCUAAUUCUUUGUAUAAAGCAUCUGCUUUGUGUUUGUAUGUCAAGCCUGGAAGUGUAGAAGCUUCUCCAUAAGUCAACCUAUGUCUUAUGCUAAGGAUUACAUACCCUAAAUGCCUGUCAAGUGUUUGUUUCUAACAAAGAAGUGAACUAAAAAAAAUAUAAAAAUUCAACAACGAAAACCAAAGCAAAGUACAAACUCCACAAAAACACUUUCAUCAACAACUAUCAGUUUUAGAUUUUUACUCUGUAAAGACAACAUAAAUUAGUUAAUUUGAAUUAAUCCCCUUAAUUAAUUCAUUCUGUAUUAAAUCAAGCAGAAAAAUCUUCCUUCUAGUUUAAUCUUUUCCUGUCUAAGAUAUCUUAAAAGCAUCUCCAAGACACAAGCACCUUCUAAAUCAUAAACCACAUCCUGUAUGAAAAGCUCUACCUACUUCCUCUUCCUAACAUGUUGUCACGGGGGUUUUUUAUUCCUGCCAGCUCUGCAAAGUCAAUACAGUGAUGGAUCUGUGGGCAGGAUUCCCUUCCAGGUUACAUGCCAACAGAAGUGCUAGGUCCAGUUGCAAACCCUUUGCCAGGAGGUGGCAUGCAGAGCUGCAAAGGUCAGCUAUAUGCCUUGGAUAGUAUGGGGACUACUUGUACAGCAGAAAUAACUUGGCCUUUAGAUUACUCAGCAGAUACGUGGCUGCCAGGUUAGGGAAGAAAGGUUGUUAACUGAGCUGGGAAGUCAUGCAGAACCUGAACUCUUGUCAUGAAGUUUUUAAUAGCAUCAGUCUUCAAAGACUACAAAAUGCUAAAAUGCUGUGCUACACCAUUAAUAGUUGAGCUCCUCUGUGAAAUCUUCCACAGCAAACGUUGUUAACGCAAUCUGCAAAGGUCACCAACCUAUGACAGCAAGAGACAACACAGCUCUGCCUCCUAUUUCUGGGCUUUUAUCAAAAGGCAGACCACCUUUUGAACUUGAAAUUCACCUCUAAAAACUUAUGCAAUGUUUAAGGGCUCUAGUUCAGCAAAAUUUCUUUAAAGAAGCAAGUUCUCAAAUUAGAACAGAUCCAGGAAAAUACAGUGUGGACAUCUUUUCUCAAAAAAAAAAAAAAAAAAUCAGUAUAGAAUAGACUGAGCACCCUGGCAUCUGGUAUUACUUAUGAAGAGAGAGGCAAUACAUUACACACAUUAUCAGCAGAGAUCUCCCUCAAAUAAGUAAGGACAAGAGAAACAUCCUAAACUUGGCUCAGCCAGUCUAUUUUAUACAAGGACUUGGGAUACUCUAGCAAUAAUCUGCUACGUAACAAGUCAAGUGGUGCUUGCCCAAACACAGGCAAUAAUUGAAAUUGUUAAACAAUUGUGAUAUGAAUUGAGCAUCCAUUCUUGUGGGUCACAAUGCCAAGUGUCCUACUUCAAAACAAACCAAGUAAUUUCUCUCUUCAAUUUCAAUCAACAGCUGAGAUAGAACAGAAAAGCUUGACUCAAAACAAGUGUUAACACAAGGAAUGAUGCUGAAUUAACUGAAGGUUGAACUCUGUAAUUCAAAUAAAGUGCAAAGUUCAGCUAAGCUGAAAAGAAGGGGAUUUCCUUCUGGGCCUUAGUAUUUACCAAGUCUUAUCCUGCAAUGUUUUAUAACACAACAUGACCUCCAUGAUACACCAUUAGUAGCCUAAUAAUUCCAAGAUGGCAUACCCCAUUUUGAUUUAAGGCAUGGGGAACUCUGAAACAAAGGGAAGGUAAAUCACAAGCAACAGGCUACCCACAGUAAAGACAUCCAGAAAAAUAAAACCUUGGUAGAGAAGUCUAGAAGUAUCAGAUGUUUGAUGUCCUCUUGAGCCAUUCUUCUAAGUAUGUAUGAGAAUCUGCUGUAAUUGAAGGUGUUAUCUCACUGUACGCUUCUUCUAUGUUUUUCCUGCAAAACCAUCUCUGCAAACCUGCCUCCCAUUUUUGUUAGGAACACUCAGUCAAAUUUGUUUUGUUUUAUUGUUUUUGGGGCGUUUUUUAACCCCUCCCUCCAAAGAAACUGUCAACUCUACAGAGAAACAAGCAAAAGUACUUCUGAUUGCAUUUUCUGUAUCAGAUUAAGAUUCAGUGGCAGUUUUCAAAUGCCACUGGAAAACUGAAGUUUCCAAAAUAGAGAGUUUCACUCACCAUGACAUUAAUCAGCCAAGCAUUUUUUGCAAUCAUUUGCAAUCUGUGCCACAGUGCUCUCCAGAAAGUCAGCACAUCAAAGAACAUGUGGGUGGCAGCACAUUCCUGGCUACUACUGCUCUGAAAGAAGCAGACUGCUGCUUUCUGAACCAGGCAGCAUCGGCUUUUUUGGUGUUUUAAAAGGUCACUGUGCUCUUUCAAGUACAGCAAGGGUCAGCUUUACAGGCUAGGAGUCAAAGCUAUGAGGUCUAGCCCACCUCUCAGGGAUGGGAGUAGCUCUUGGCUGAGAUGCCCAAUGUUCUAGUGUAUAAACACAUUUAAAUAUGGGAAAAUAAAGGUAUUCUCCAGAUCAGCAGACAAUCAGCAGCUGCUUCUCGUGUCAAGACUGAGCACCCAUUAGCUGCCUCCCUUCCACUUGCACAUCUCUCCUAGGCAGUAAGAGAUAGCACCUACCAUACUAUAGCUCUGGUUUUAUCUCCAAAGCUCACCACACCUUCCUUUGCUUCUCUCCAGGUUUUAAACAGAUGCUGGAGGAAGCAGGAAAUGGUCUGGGAAUACCUUAUGAGCAAGGUAUUCCUGAGAACAAAUGCUACCACCUUUUCCAUAGUUUGUUCCUCCCUUCCUCAAGCUGUAGGAAAGGAUUUUGUUGCACUAACACCAGAUUACCUCACAGCAAGGGACACAAACCACCUCUCUCUCCUGCCUUAGCAUGGAUGGAUGGAUCGAUAUAUAUAUGACACGUAUGGUUAUCCAUCAAGACAACUUGUGCCAUCUUACUCCCACAUCACUGCCUAGCUCAACCAAGAAAGAUCCCAAUAACAGACCAGAGGAGGAAAGCUCUCUCUGCUAUGCAUGGAUUCACAAGCCACAGGAAGUACUCAUGUCCAGAGCUUGAAGAAGACAACGAAGCUCAAGCUUUCAAUUCAGAGACAUUCAUCCUUUCCAAAGGUUUACAGAACUGUCCUACAUGCAGCUCUGCAGACAAAGACUAUGAGCAGAGUUCAAGUGAGAAUUAAAGUGAGUUAGUGUGGAAAUGAGCAGCAAGUAAAGAAAUCAUUCUGCAAAAACAGAGAUUACAACUCCCAUUAAUUCCCAUUUGACUGUACCUCUGCAGGACUACUGCUGCUCUGAAGGGGAGAAAGCAGCAGAGAAGAUAUACUGUUAACAAUGGACAUUUGAACUUGGUGGCAGAACACUGGUAACUGCUGGGGAAGAUGGGAUGGACUCUGUAAUUCCUGCCUGUCCUCCCACCUGCUCACUCACAACAUGAGCAAAGAAGUGCAAGAAGUACAUCCAGCUGUACCACAGUGCACACCCUAACACAAAUCAUGCUUAGUCAAUAGCCUCAGAACCUCUAAACUGAGUCACAGCAAAUACUAAUUUUUGCAAUCUCAUAGCCUGUCUUUUGAAAUUCAGUAAAUAAAGAAAUAAUAUGGAUAAUUUUACUCUGUGAGUAAAGUUAUCCAGGAGAAAUCAUGGAUUGGGCACAUUCCUUCUCAGAAGACAAAUGACCCCUUAACAUUUUCUGACACACCUUUUAGACAGCAGCAUAGUUUUACUUUACAUCCUAUCUUACUGGAUGACAACAAUCUUUGAAUAACUCAGUUAAGUGUUGCUGAAGGCCUAGAAGGGCACCUUGUUUUUUAGUGCUCUCUGUUUCCUCCAGAAGUUAAUAGUUCUAUGUCCAUAGGAUCAUGCUACUAUUCAGGAGAAAUUACUAAGUUGGCCUUUCUUACUGGUUCUUACAUCUAUGAGGACAGAGACCAAAAGCAGGAACAUUUAUGCAAGGAAACAUUACAAUUGACAGGUUGAACCAUGGCCAGGAGCUGCAGAUUCCAGAGUCAGAUGCUCUGAAAAUAUCUCUCAUCAUAACAUGGAGCAGAGGAAUUUGGCAGUUGCCUCCUUCCUACGUGAUGUCCCUGGAGCAUUACUAGGCCAGUGCUUACUCAUGCCAUGGAGAACUGCAAGUCUGUGAACUACACCCACAGCUAAUGCAAUUAGCUGCAGUCAAUGGACCAUGCUUGUCCAGUGCUUGUGAUAGCACCCAGUAAUCAGUGAGCACCCUCUGCAUACCGCAGACCUCUCAAAUGUCACUGUAGCCAUGGGAACUAUGCUUUGCAACAGUUCUCACUCAUUUGGUUGGUAGAAGUACACCUUCCCACAGGACUAUGCCAGAGUCCACAUGGCAAUAGGAAGCUUUAAAAUAAGCCAUCUCUGCAGACCUCAGCACUCUCAGGGAAGCACACUGGGAUUUUGUACACUAAUGAACAGACCCCAACCAUUUCAGCAAAGCAGUAGCUGAUUUUCAGGUAUCCUGCCACACACUAUGCUUUACCAGUGUCAUAAAAACAGAAUAUUUUUAAUUCCUUAUACAAAGAAUCUGCAAAAGGGACAACUGAAAGACAUCACCACAGACUUCCACUAAAAAUAAAUUAAUAAAUGCUCUGUGUGGCUGAUCGUGACCCCCAAUUUUGAAUCUGCAGCACAGUGCAGCAUACAACAGUUGCUAAAUAGAACCACAUUCUUGUCAAGGGAAGUGCUAUCAUCAGUAUUUCAGCUGAGAGAUGUGAGAGCCAGAAUAACCUCAUGAACAUUCACGUGAUGAACAGAGCUCAGAAACCUUUGCUUUCAACCAAAUUACACAGGCUUGGCAAAAUUCCUUGC